GUCCAAUUUAAUUAUCACUUGCUGCAAUUAUUUAUCUUUUCAAUUACUUUGCUCACUUUUUCUUUUCCUUUUUCUUAUAUUGCGUUUUAAUCUAUUGUAUAAAUCUUGUGUAUGUAGAGUUGUGCUCAUUUUCUCUUGGCAUUUUCAUUAUAUUUUGCUUUUAAUAGAAGUUCCUUUGUUUACUUUCAGGGGCAACAAUGCCAAGACACCUG
rnacentral:misc_RNA from 1 species